GUAAAUAUUUUGUAAUGUUAUUGAAAUGUAUUUUCUUAGAGGGAAUUGGGUGUGAUAUGGGAUGUGGAUUUAUACGGAGAAUUUCUCAAGAUUGGGGGUGGAAAAGAAAGGAUGACAACGUACUUUAACAACACUAGUUGGCCAGAUAAGCUCCUAAGGAUGAAACUGAAAGAAAGGAAUUUAUUCCUUAUCUUCACAAAAGGAAGACCGAACUGUUCAUGGUCUUUAUUGAGAAGAAGUUGUUGCCUCUUCGGCCAGGUGUUGCAAAAUUUGCGUAUGUUAGACAAGAUGAUUUGUUCUUCUCACAGCUGACUGUUCGAGAAACGUUGUCUCUUACAGCUGAGCUCCAACUUCGGGAGAUAAUAUCUAUUGAAAAGAGGGAUGAAUAUGUCAACAAUCUUUUG